AAAGGCGCCGAUUACCCGAUGAACUGGAGGUUGGUAAAUACAAAGUAAACUGACAGCGUGCGCGUUCUGCAGGUUGGCCAUGGUGCUGAUAACGCUACAUUCGCAAAUGUACGUACAUCUGGCCCUGAGAGCCGAGGCAGAAGAGCCA